rnacentral:rRNA from 1 species
GCGCCCCUACGGGACGCAGCAGUGGGGAAUAUUGCACAAUGGGCGCAAGCCUGAUGCAGCGACGCCGCGUGCGGGAUGGAGGCCUUCGGGUUGUAAACCGCUUUUGUUCAAGGGCAAGGCACGGUCUUUGGCCGUGUUGAGUGGAUUGUUCGAAUAAGCACCGGCUAACUACGUGCCAGCAGCCGCGGUAAUACGUAGGGUGCAAGCGUUAUCCGGAUUUAUUGGGCGUAAAGAGCUCGUAGGCGGUUCGUCGCGUCCGGUGUGAAAGUCCAUCGCUUAACGGCGGGUCCGCGCCGGGGCCGGGG